rnacentral:lncRNA from 1 species
GAGCACUGUUUGGCUAAGUAUUUGCACGCGUGCUGGACUGGGUUUUUGACAGCAUGGCUCAUGCAGAGAAAGGCAGCUCAGCAAGCAAGGGCAUUUCGUUGGGACUGAAAAACGUGAGUGACUGCUCAGGGAUCCCAAGGACAGCCCAUUGUCUUGGGAUGAAGCUUAACUUGUUGCUUAUGAGUCAUCCAUGAGGAUCCUUCUUGCUCCCCAGGCUGUGCUGCCGCAGCUGUGAUCAGCAGGAUGUGCUAUCUGUCCAAAUUGCCUUUCCGUAAAAGAGUGGGGCUUGGCAGGCUGCUCUCUCGCAAAAUCUUUCAUUCCAUUUGGUUCAAAAUAGCCUGAACUUGGUGACCUGCCAAGCACACUGGAAAAGACACCUGUCUGAGGGUUUUUUGGAGGGGAGCAGCUUCCCAUAAUGAUGAAAGGGAAAGAAAAGUCUUUCCAUAAGUGGCUCAGAUUACAUGAAAGUGACUGUUUCAGGGCUGCUGGGAUCCCUUUGGGUGGCUUUAAGGGUGCUCAGGAACUGAGGUGGGGUCAGGGGUCCUGCUGUUGCUAAUGUAAUAAAUUUUGUCACAGGUUCUACUGAGACCAGAAUCAAUUCAAUCCUGCAGAUCUGAUCCAAAGGAUGUUAAUGUUUGUUGAAAACUUCCGUACAUGCUGGAUCUGAUUUUUAGACCCGUCUGCUACAAACAACAUGCUUACGUUUGUGACACAAACAAGGAAAGCACAGAACAGACUUACCGUGUGUUACAGACUGUUGAAGAAACAGAAGGAACAAGAAAUUGUGAAAGAGACCUGCUGCAUCUUUUAUACUUCUAAAGAGCAACUGAUCCCUGACGUGUAGCUGUUUCUGUGUGGUUGCUAAAUGCUGCUCUGUUUUUUUCUAAAUCCCAGAUACAUCACAUUCAUAUGUUUCUCCUGGGAUUUAAAAACAAACACUGAAUGUUUUCCAGGCUGAUAUGUCUACCUCCCCCACUACAAUAUGAACCUUGCUUGCAUCGGUGCCAACAUUUGUUCUUUGAAAACUAGGAAAUCUCACCCCAGUGGAAAGUAGGUAGGAUUUGAUCCAUUUUGCCCAGGGAGGGAUGUGUACAAACCCUUACCCUAGGCACAAGGGCUUAUGGAAGCUGAACUUCUUUCGAAAUAAGAUCACUGAGUAUGGCAUGUAUAGAGCUCCAUCUCAGUAAACUCCAGUUGUGAAGCAGCCUGUGUUUGUGUAAGAGAAGCUAGGACUUCAUGCAGGAUUAGGGUCCAGCACAGUGCUGUAAUGUAUCAUUCUGUACAGAUUCCCCCCAAUGCAAGUCAUAGCCAAGUUAAUGCAAAAAGGCUGCUGACUUGAGAGUCCCAGACUGAAUCGCACGUGGUCUGACUGCCAGACAUGAUGACAGCCUGCCUCUCCCAGCCACUUCAACUGCAGCAGCAGGUUCUCAGCACUUCUGUGAAUCGGGAACUUCGUUCUUGGCUGGUGCAAAUGGUUGCAAUGCCAAUGAAUGGACGGUUCAAUACAAUUAGCUCAUAUCCCUGAGAUAGUUUUAACAAAGUCUAAGUAUUAUUAUAGCUCAUUGUCAUUUAGCAAUGGAAAGUUUAGAACUGUUAUUAUUAGGUUAGAGCACCUCUUUACCAUUCUCUGCAGUCUUUGUAAGAGGGCAGGGUGAAAAGGAAGAAAAUGCACAGGAAUCCGUUAGGGAUUUGGUCAACUGAAACCUAGCAUAUUCUCCUAUCUGUUAGUUUAAACUGCCAACUCAGUAGCACACAUUAUUCAAAAGCUUGCUUACCUGUGCAAACCACUGUGUUAACAGCAGGUGCUGCAUCUCCACACCACACUGAAUGUAUAACAAAACCAUUUAGACCCAGCUAAUUUCCAGAUAAACAUAUUUACUAUGGCUAAAGCUACAUAGUCAUAUUGAGUGAGCAGUUUCUCCUCACUUCUCAGAUUCCUUUGGCAAGUCUCUUUCUUCUCUCCUGCAAUGCUUCAGGCCUUUGCUCUACUUCCUUCCGUACAUAUAAAUAUACCUUGAUCCACUACAUCCCAGCCUGCAGCUCCUCCAACUAACAGUUCUUGCUACAUCCUGAUAAGAGACACCAAGAUCAGGUAGAAUAUAUUGAGUACUCUUCACACCCUUCCUUUUCUUUGCAGGGGAAACUAUUCAUCUCUGUUUUUCCAGCUUGAGAACUGCCAGUCUGGAAGGAUGUUAUGAAACUCCAUUCCAGACCCUCUGCUGAAUAUUAGCUGUCUCCAAAACAGCAUUUAGAUAAUAACCAAAGUUCAUGGUUCCUUGUACUAGGCAAGCCCAUGGCAUGACCAAUGCCCAAGAUUCUCCAUGAAAUUUGACAAGAAAAACAAUGUAUUAAAGCACAGAAGAGCCCUAUAACUCCAARACAAAGUAAAAAGCCAAGAAAAUUGGUUCUAGAGAUGCAAAAUUGAACUCCACAAUCUUGUUGUCCUCCAUUCUAAGCAACCUCUGUCCUCUCCAGCAGGAAAACAAUUGUAAUAUGUUAGGCAGAAAAAGCUUUCUGUAGAAAAAAUCAGUAGGAUGGGGAGCUUAUAGAGCCAGUUCCUGUGUAUGUGCUAGAGGACCGGAUAUCAGAAGUUACUUAAGCAUGAGCCAGAGCAGCAUGGUGUGCUGGGUCCAUGCCAAAUGACUCAGCCCUUUGUAGGUAGAAGUCACAAGCCCAACAGUUUGGGUUUGCAAAACUUAGUUCAUCACCUGCAUUGAGUAGAGCAGGAGUGAGUAAUGAAGUGCUCAGAGCUGAGCGUGAGGGAGAGGUGGCCCUGAAGCAUCUCGGGGGGAAAGAUUAAGAGCUGGGAGGUUCUAGCAUGACGCAGGCUUUUCCUUAAAUACAGAAGUCUUUUAAACCUCCUGGCUGCACCUUCCUCAUAAAUUCCUGAUCUCCAAAUGAACCCUUUCAAGGUGAAUGAUUGCCUGCAUUACUGUAAAAGAUUCACACUGGUAUUCGCCUUGCUAUACUAUGCUAUGCUGGCAUAGGCACAUCACUUGCUAGAGCCAUGUGAAGCAUACAGGGUAAUUCUUCAAUGGAAACCUUUGGAAGGGGGCCCUGUUCGAAACUCCAGACAAGUGAAGCAUGAAGAAACCUCUUCCCGGUCUCCUUCAUGCAGUAACAUUUCUUCCUUCUUAUUAUUAGCUGGAUCACCGUGACAUCUAAAUGUUCCAGCUCCCAGCAGGACCCCAAAGUGCCAGGCUCUGUACAGCAACAGUGAGAGACAGUUCUUUGCAAUUUAAACUGGUAAGAUGAAGCGGAAGAGGGAAAGUGUGGUAGAGCAGUUUAUUUAAUAUCACACAGCAGCCUGGUAGCUGAGCUACCAAUAAACAUGCCUCCCAACAUUUGCA